rnacentral:rRNA from 1 species
GCGGCAACAGCUCAAAUUUGAAAUCUGGCGCAAGCCCGAGUUGUAAUUUGUAGAGGAUGCUUCUGGGUAGCGACCGGUCUAAGUUCCUUGGAACAGGACGUCAUAGAGGGUGAGAAUCCCGUAUGUGACCGGCCCGCACCCUUUACGUAGCUCCUUCGACGAGUCGAGUUGUUUGGGAAUGCAGCUCUAAAUGGGAGGUAAAUUUCUUCUAAAGCUAAAUACCGGCCAGAGACCGAUAGCGCACAAGUAGAGUGAUCGAAAGAUGAAAAGUACUUUGGAAAGAGAGUUAAAAAGCACGUGAAAUUGUUGAAAGGGAAGCGCCUACAACCAGACUUCGCGGCAGUGUUCCGCCGGUCUUCUGACCGGUUUAUUCUCUGUCGCGAGGCCAUCAUCGUCUGGGCCCGCCGGAUAAGACCUUAGGAAUGUAGCUCACCUUCGGGGGAGUGUUAUAGCCUAUGGUGAUGCGGCGAGGCUCGGGCGAGGUCCGCGCUUCGGCAAGGAUGAUGGCGUAAUGGUUGUCGGCGGCCCGUCUUGAAACACGGACCAAGGAGUCUAACAUCUAUGCGAGUGUUCGGGUGUCAAACCCCUACGCGUAAUGAAAGUGAACGGAGGUGGGAACCGCAAGGUGCACCAUCGACCGAUCCUGAUGUCCUCGGAUGGAUUUGAGUAAGAGCAUAGCUGUUGGGACCCGAAAGAUGGUGAACUAUGCCUGAAUAGGGUGAAGCCAGAGGAAACUCUGGUGG